CCUACGGGAGGCUGCAGUGAGGAAUCUUGGUCAAUGGACGAGAGUCUGAACCAGCCAAGUAGCGUGAAGGAUGACUGCCCUAUGGGUUGUAAACUUCUUUUAUAUGGGAAUAAAAUGUUCCACGUGUGGGAUUUUGUAUGUACCAUAUGAAUAAGGAUCGGCUAACUCCGUGCCAGCAGCCGCGGUAAUACGGAGGAUCCGAGCGUUAUCCGGAUUUAUUGGGUUUAAAGGGAGCGUAGGUGGAUUGUUAAGUCAGUUGUGAAAGUUUGCGGCUCAACCGUAAAAUUGCAGUUGAAACUGGCAGUCUUGAGUACAGUAGAGGUGGGCGGAAUUCGUGGUGUAGCGGUGAAAUGCUUAGAUAUCACGAAGAACUCCGAUUGCGAAGGCAGUUCACUGGACUGCAACUGACACUGAGGCUCGAAAGUGUGGGUAUCAAACAGGAUUAGAUACCCGUGUAGUC
rnacentral:rRNA from 1 species